rnacentral:rRNA from 1 species
GUGGGGAAUAUUGGACAAUGGGCGCAAGCCUGAUCCAGCCAUGCCGCGUGUGUGAAGAAGGCCUUCGGGUUGUAAACUGCUUUUGUACGGAACGAAACGGUCCUGGUUAAUACCUGGGGCUAAUGACGGUACCGUAAGAAUAAGCACCGGCUAACUACGUGCCAGCAGCCGCGGUAAUACGUAGGGUGCGAGCGUUAAUCGGAAUUACUGGGCGUAAAGCGUGCGCAGGCGGUGCUGUAAGACAGGCGUGAAAUCCCCGGGCUCAACCUGGGAAUUGCGCUUGUGACUGCAGUGCUGGAGUACGGCAGAGGGGGAUGGAAUUCCGCGUGUAGCAGUGAAAUGCGUAGAUAUGCGGAGGAACACCGAUGGCGAAGGCAGUCCCCUGGGCCUGUACUGACGCUCAUGCACGAAAGCGUGGGGAGCAAACAGGAUUAGAUACCCCAGUAGUCC